AAAUUAGAAGAUAUAAUAGAUUUUUAGUCAUCCAAGUAUAAAAUCAAAUCAAUUUAAUUUUUAACCUACAACAACUAGUGUUUACUAAAUAUUUUAGUACUAUAACUUUAUACAACUGCCUAACCUCAAUUCUAAACAUGCUUAAGCUUAACAAAGGCUAUCUAACAACUUGGCUGUAUACCAAUAGGCCUUUGGUCUAGGGCGAGAACACUUGCUCUCACAAUCCAAACCACUAUAAAAAAACUGAGUGGAAGCAGUCUUCUCCCUUAUGAAAUGCGAAUGGAGUAAGCAUUCCUCGAACAUUAGAGAGGAUAAAUAUGAAAUGUGAGUGGAGUAGGUGUCUUUAGAAUAUUAGAGAGGGUAAAUAAUGAGAGAAUAAAUAAUUGGGUGGAGGUUGUCUUCUCCCUUACAAAAUGUGAGUGAAGUACGAGGUUCUUAAAUAUUGGAGAGGGUAAAAUCUUUCUUCCUUGAGUGGAGGCUGUCUUCUCCUUUACGAGAGUAAAAUCUUUCUCCCUUACGAAAUGAAAGGUGUCCCUCGAAUAUUAGAGAGGGUGAAUAAAUAGUUAAGUGGAGGUUGUCUUCUCCUUUAUAAAAUGUGAGUGGAGUAGGCGUCUCUCGAAUAUUAAAGAGGGUAAAAUAUUUCUUCUUAUGAGAAGAAUAGACGUCCCUCAAAUAUUAAAGAUGGUAAAAUCUUUAUCCGUUACAAAACAAAAUGUGAGUGGAGUAGACGUCCCUCAAAUAUUAAAGAGGGUAAAUAAAUAAUUGAGUAGAGGUUGUUCUCUCCCUUACGAGGGUAAAAUUUCUCCUUUAUGAAAUGAAAGGCGUCCCUCGAAUAUUAAAGAGGAUAAAUAAAUAAUUGAGUGGAUGUUGUCUUCUCCUUUAUGAAAUAUGAGUGGAGUAGGCGUCCCUCGACUAUUAGAGAAUGGAAAAUCUUUCUCUCUUUCAAAUAUUAAAGGGUAAUUGGAGUAGAUGUCCCUCAAAUAUUAGAAGGUAAUUGGAGUAGACGUCCCUCAAAUAUUAAAAGGUGAUUGAAGUAGACGUCUCUCGAAUAUUAGAGUGAGUCCCUUACCAAACGUGAUUAAAGUAGGCGUCUUUCGAAUAUUAGAGAGGGUCCGUUAUGAAAUGUGAGUAGAACAUGCAUCUCUGGGAUAUUAAAGAGGGUAAAUAAUAGAGUAGAGGCAAUAUUCUCCUUUACAAAAUGCGAGUAGAGUAGGCAUCCAUCAGUAAUUGUCCAAUUAUAAAUAUCAGUAAUAAUUUCAUAUAAUGAAUUGUAAUCCGAACAAUAGUCUUAUGUAAUUAAAAAAAAAGAUUUGUCAAUAUAAUAUUGAUCAUGUACUUAUCAUAUUUGAAAAAUCUUUGAACCAGUGGCCUAAGUGGGAUAUACAUAAUCUUCACAAACAACUAACUUAAAUCAACUUAAAACUAAGCAAGCAAGUGAUAACAAGAUUUUCAAUGAUUCAUUUGGUUGAAAAGUUGUGAAUGUUAGGGCGCUAAGUCGUGAGAAGGACAAUAUUAUUAUAUAAUAUAUAUAAAAAGAUCUAAAAAUGGCUUUGAAAGAUUUGCAUAGCUUUUUCAAUGCUCUGACAUAUUCUUAGAUGAUAUGAUGGGAUUUUCCUUCAAAAUAAAUUAAGAACGUAAGUGGAAAUCUAGCUAAAAAGUACAUGCUACUACUUGCCAGGACAGUUGAAAUUAAUUUUAAGAAAAUAAUCAUUGCACCGUAUUUCUUUUACAUUAUGUUCAUUUAACUAUUAUAAAAUUUUAAUAUAUUCUCUACAUCAUUUUUUUUUUAAAUUUGUAUUAAUUAGUCACUUUUGUACUAACACCGUUAAAUAAUUUAAACGAAAUGAUAAUUUUAUCCCUAAAUAAAUUAAAAGACCAUUUUAUCUUAUAAAAAUUUGAAAAAUAAAAAAUUA
rnacentral:lncRNA from 1 species